GAUGAAGAACGUAGCGUAACGCGAUAUGUAAUGUGAAUUGCAGAAUUCAGUGAAUCAUCGAAUCUUUGAACGCACAUGGCGCCUUCCAGUAUCCUGGGAGGCAUGCCUGUCCGAGCGUCGUUUCAACCCUCGAGCCCCCGUGGCCCGGCGUUGGGGAUCUGCCCAGGCAGUCCCCGAAAACCAGUGGCGGACCCGUUACAGGCCCUUCCCUUGCGUAGUAGCAUUCGCCUCGCAUCGGGAGCCGGCGGGCUUCCAGCCUCUAAACCCCCAUCAAGUCCGCCCCGGCGGCACCAAGGUUGACCUCGGAUCAGGUAGGAAUACCCGCUGAACUUAAGCAUAUCAAUAGCGGAGGA
rnacentral:misc_RNA from 1 species